GAUGAACGCUAGCUACAGGCUUAACACAUGCAAGUCGAGGGGCAGCAUGGUCUUAGCUUGCUAAGGCCGAUGGCGACCGGCGCACGGGUGAGUAACACGUAUCCAACCUGCCGUCUACUCUUGGACAGCCUUCUGAAAGGAAGAUUAAUACAAGAUGGCAUCAUGAGUCCGCAUGUUCACAUGAUUAAAGGUAUUCCGGUAGACGAUGGGGAUGCGUUCCAUUAGAUAGUAGGCGGGGUAACGGCCCACCUAGUCUUCGAUGGAUAGGGGUUCUGAGAGGAAGGGCCCCAACAUUGGAACUGAGACAAGGUCCAAACUCCUACGGGAGGCAGCAGUGAGGAAUAUUGGUCAAUGGGCGCAGGCCUGAACCAGCCAAGUAGCGUGAAGGAUGACUGCCCUAUGGGUUGUAAACUUCUUUUAUAAAGGAAUAAAGUCGGGUAUGUAUACCCGUUUGCAUGUACUUUAUGAAUAAGGAUCGGCUAACUCCGUG
rnacentral:rRNA from 1 species